GCCAGGUGUGGUGGCUCACACCUGCAGUCCCAGCUACUUGGGAGGCUGAGGCAGGAGGAUCACUUGAGCCCAGGAGUUUGAGGCCAGCCUGGGCAACACAGUGAGACCCCAUCUCUU
rnacentral:sRNA from 1 species